rnacentral:rRNA from 1 species
AGUGAACGCUGGCGGUAGGCCUAACACAUGCAAGUCGAACGGCAGCACAGUAAGAGCUUGCUCUUACGGGUGGCGAGUGGCGGACGGGUGGGGAAUACAUCGGAAUCUACUUUUUCGUGGGGGAUAACGUAGGGAAACUUACGCUAAUACCGCAUACGACCUACGGGUGAAAGCAGGGGAUCUUCGGACCUUGCGCGAUUGAAUGAGCCGAUGUCGGAUUAGCUAGUUGGCGGGGUAAAGGCCCACCAAGGCGACGAUCCGUAGCUGGGCUGAGAGGAUGAUCAGCCACACUGGAACUGAGACACGGUCCAGACUCCUACGGGAGGCAGCAGUGGGGAAUAUUGGACAAAGGGCGCAAGCCUGAUCCAGCCAUACCGCGUGGGUGAAGAAGGCCUUCGGGUUGUAAAGCCCUUUUGUUGGGAAAGAAAAGCAGCAGGUUAAUACCCCGCUGUUCUGACGGUACCCAAAGAAUAAGCACCGGCUAACUUCGUG